rnacentral:rRNA from 1 species
AUUGAACGCUGGCGGCAUGCCUAACACAUGCAAGUCGAGCGGAUGAACGAAGCUUUCUCCUGUAUUCCGCUGCCGGCGGGCGAGUAAUGCCCAGGAGUCUGCCUGAUAUUUAUGAAUAACGUCCUGACACGAGCGCUGAUACCACAUCCGACCAGAUUGUGAACCUCGGGGUUCUUCGGACCUCGCGGUAUCAGCUGACCCUAAGAGGGAUUAGCUAGCUGGUAGGGUAAAGGCCUACCAAGGCGACGAUCCAUAACUGAUCUGAGUGGCUGAUCAGUCACACUGGAACUGAGACACGGUCCAGACUCCUACGGGAGGCAGCAGUGGGGAAUCUUGGGCAAUGGGCGAAAGCCUGAUGCAGCCAUGCCGCGUGUGUGAUGAAGGUCUUCGGAUUGUAAAGCUCUUUUAGUUGGGAGGAACAGAUGUAUAAUAAUACGUGGCCAUCUUGACGUUACCAAAUGAAUAAGCAACGGCUAACUUCGUG